GACGAACGCUGGCGGCGUGCUUAACACAUGCAAGUCGAACGGAAAGGCCCUGCUUUUGUGGGGUGCUCGAGUGGCGAACGGGUGAGUAGCACGUGAGUAACCUGCCCUUGACUUUGGGAUAACUUCAGGAAACUGGGGCUAAUACCGGAUAGGAGCUCCUGCUGCAUGGUGGGGGUUGGAAAGUUUCGGCGGUUGGGGAUGGACUCGCGGCUUAUCAGCUUGUUGGUGGGGUAGUGGCUUACCAAGGCUUUGACGGGUAGCCGGCCUGAGAGGGUGACCGGCCACAUUGGGACUGAGAUACGGCCCGGCCUCCUACGGGAGGCAGCAGUGGGGAAUAUUGCACCAUGGGCGGAAGCCUGAUGCAGCAACGCCGCGUGCGGGAUGACGGCCUUCGGGUUGUAAACCGCUUUCGCCUGUGACGAAGCGUGAGUGACGGUAAUGGGUAAAGAAGCACCGGCUAACUACGUG
rnacentral:rRNA from 1 species